GUAACUUCAUGUGACUGUGCUGAGUGUUGUUUCUACCACCAGGUAACUUCACCAUGAAGUCACGUCUGACAUCAUUAUGCACUGUAAUUCAAAACAGCUGGGACAAAUGUUCAACUAAACAGCUUUUGAUAUCUUAUGAGGGAGUCCCCUCCUUCUCUGACCUCAUUUCCAUCUGAUUUCUCACUCCCACACCCCACCUUGUCAGCUGUGCCCUCACCAACACUUCCCACUCCCCGUCCAUCAUCAUCUGUCAGCUCAGUACACCAGUUUGUCCACAAGCCAGCCAGAAUCCCUCCCUCUUUCUCUCUUGUCUUUUUCACUGCUAUUUCACUGACUCUGUUUAACCCUGUCCUCUCUUUGCUUUUCUUAUUCACUACUUGAACUCCUCUUCAUCCUAUUUUCAUUUCCCCUCUCUCGUCUCUUGUUUUCAUCCUGCCAGUCUGACGACUAAUUCACACCUCCCUCUGCCUCCUGUUCAGUCCUAGCAGAUUCUUAUUUCUGGGUUGUGACCCACUUAUCAGCAGCUGACAUGUUUUGCUCUGUUCCAGUUUAUGAGGCUUCUUCUGCUCUGUGAAGUUGAACUGUCUAACUUGACUCAAAGAGCUCGGGAUGUGAUGUGAUUAUCAACGAUAGCGUGAAUAUUUUAAAAAACAUAAUACAAAUUCCCAAACCAGUAAAGUCAGGACCUUGAAAAGCUCAGUCGUUCACAAGGAAGGAUGGGGCCACGUUCACCACUUUGUCAGCAACUGCCUGAACAAAUAUUUCAACAGUUUAAGAACAACGUUUCUCAAUGUGUAACUAAGGGGUUUUGUUUUUGGGGUCAUUCCUAUAGAAGAUAUUAUUGUGUGGGCUCAGGAGGACUUCGGAAAACCAUUGUUAGUUUACACAGUUCAUCUCUACAACUACAAGUUCAAUCUCUACCGUGUAAAGACAAAGACAGAUAUCAACAGCAGCCAGAAACACCGCCGGCUUCUUUGGACCCGAGCUCAGCUGAGAUAGACUGACCCAAAGUGGAA